CUUGAAUUCGAUAAGAUUUUGCAAUAUUUAUGGAGGCAUAAUAUUGUAAAGCGCUAUGGAAUAUGUUGGCGCUAUAUAAAUGGUGAUAAUAAUAACCACUUCAAAAGAAAUGCAUUAGAUACAGUGCCUACAGUGUCUCUUUAAGAAUGCAAACUACAUUAGUUAUUCAAAAAAUUAUACUGAAUUAAUUUCACAGUGAAUAUAAAAUUCAUUGCAGUGUACUUUUCCAUAAUAUUGUUUAAAGAGGC